rnacentral:rRNA from 1 species
GGUUAAGCGACUAAGCGUACACGGUGGAUGCCCUGGCAGUCAGAGGCGAUGAAGGACGUGCUAAUCUGCGAUAAGCGUCGGUAAGGUGAUAUGAACCGUUAUAACCGGCGAUUUCCGAAUGGGGAAACCCAGUGUGUUUCGACACACUAUCAUUAACUGAAUCCAUAGGUUAAUGAGGCGAACCGGGGAACUGAAACAUCUAAGUACCCCGAGGAAAAGAAAUCAACCGAGAUUCCCCCAGUAGCGGCGAGCGAACGGGGAGGAGCCCAGAGCCUGAAUCAGUGUGUGUGUUAGUGGAAGCGUCUGGAAAGGCGCGCGAUACAGGGUGACAGCCCCGUACACAAAAAUGCACAUACUGUGAGCUCGAUGAGUAGGGCGGGACACGUGGUAUCCUGUCUGAAUAUGGGGGACCAUCCUCCAAGGCUAAAUACUCCUGACUGACCGAUAGUGAACCAGUACCGUGAGGGAAAGGCGAAAAGAACCCCGGCGAGGGGAGUGAAAAAGAACCUGAAACCGUGUACGUACAAGCAGUGGGAGCCUCUUUAUGGGGUGACUGCGUACCUUUUGUAUAAUGGGUCAGCGACUUAUAUUCUGUAGCAAGGUUAACCGAAUAGGGGAGCCGAAGGGAAACCGAGUCUUAACUGGGCGUUAAGUUGCAGGGUAUAGACCCGAAACCCGGUGAUCUAGCCAUGGGCAGGUUGAAGGUUGGGUAACACUAACUGGAGGACCGAACCGACUAAUGUUGAAAAAUUAGCGGAUGACUUGUGGCUGGGGGUGAAAGGCCAAUCAAACCGGGAGAUAGCUGGUUCUCCCCGAAAGCUAUUUAGGUAGCGCCUCGUGAAUUCAUCUCCGGGGGUAGAGCACUGUUUCGGCAAGGGGGUCAUCCCGACUUACCAACCCGAUGCAAACUGCGAAUACCGGAGAAUGUUAUCACGGGAGACACACGGCGGGUGCUAACGUCCGUCGUGAAGAGGGAAACAACCCAGACCGCCAGCUAAGGUCCCAAAGUCAUGGUUAAGUGGGAAACGAUGUGGGAAGGCCCAGACAGCCAGGAUGUUGGCUUAGAAGCAGCCAUCAUUUAAAGAAAGCGUAAUAGCUCACUGGUCGAGUCGGCCUGCGCGGAAGAUGUAACGGGGCUAAACCAUGCACCGAAGCUGCGGCAGCGACGCUUAUGCGUUGUUGGGUAGGGGAGCGUUCUGUAAGCCUGCGAAGGUGUGCUGUGAGGCAUGCUGGAGGUAUCAGAAGUGCGAAUGCUGACAUAAGUAACGAUAAAGCGGGUGAAAAGCCCGCUCGCCGGAAGACCAAGGGUUCCUGUCCAACGUUAAUCGGGGCAGGGUGAGUCGACCCCUAAGGCGAGGCCGAAAGGCGUAGUCGAUGGGAAACAGGUUAAUAUUCCUGUACUUGGUGUUACUGCGAAGGGGGACGGAGAAGGCUAUGUUGGUCGGGCGACGGUUGUCCCGGUUUAAGCGUGUAGGCUGGUUUUCCAGGCAAAUCCGGAAAAUCAAGGCUGAGGCGUGAUGACGAGGCACUACGGUGCUGAAGCAACAAAUGCCCUGCUUCCAGGAAAAGCCUCUAAGCAUCAGGUAACAUCAAAUCGUACCCCAAACCGACACAGGUGGUCAGGUAGAGAAUACCAAGGCGCUUGAGAGAACUCGGGUGAAGGAACUAGGCAAAAUGGUGCCGUAACUUCGGGAGAAGGCACGCUGAUAUGUAGGUGAAGCGACUUGCUCGUGGAGCUGAAAUCAGUCGAAGAUACCAGCUGGCUGCAACUGUUUAUUAAAAACACAGCACUGUGCAAACACGAAAGUGGACGUAUACGGUGUGACGCCUGCCCGGUGCCGGAAGGUUAAUUGAUGGGGUUAGCGGUAACGCGAAGCUCUUGAUCGAAGCCCCGGUAAACGGCGGUACCGUAACUAUAACGGUCCUAAGGUAGCGAAAUUCCUUGUCGGGUAAGUUCCGACCUGCACGAAUGGCGUAAUGAUGGCCAGGCUGUCUCCACCCGAGACUCAGUGAAAUUGAACUCGCUGUGAAGAUGCAGUGUACCCGCGGCAAGACGGAAAGACCCCGUGAACCUUUACUAUAGCUUGACACUGAACAUUGAGCCUUGAUGUGUAGGAUAGGUGGGAGGCUUUGAAGUGUGGACGCCAGUCUGCAUGGAGCCGACCUUGAAAUACCACCCUUUAAUGUUUGAUGUUCUAACGUUGGCCCCUGAUCGGGGUUGCGGACAGUGUCUGGUGGGUAGUUUGACUGGGGCGGUCUCCUCCUAAAGAGUAACGGAGGAGCACGAAGGUUGGCUAAUCCUGGUCGGACAUCAGGAGGUUAGUGCAAUGGCAUAAGCCAGCUUGACUGCGAGCGUGACGGCGCGAGCAGGUGCGAAAGCAGGUCAUAGUGAUCCGGUGGUUCUGAAUGGAAGGGCCAUCGCUCAACGGAUAAAAGGUACUCCGGGGAUAACAGGCUGAUACCGCCCAAGAGUUCAUAUCGACGGCGGUGUUUGGCACCUCGAUGUCGGCUCAUCACAUCCUGGGGCUGAAGUAGGUCCCAAGGGUAUGGCUGUUCGCCAUUUAAAGUGGUACGCGAGCUGGGUUUAGAACGUCGUGAGACAGUUCGGUCCCUAUCUGCCGUGGGCGCUGGAGAACUGAGGGGGCUGCUCCUAGUACGAGAGGACCGGAGUGGACGCAUCACUGGUGUUCGGGUUGUCAUGCCAAUGGCACUGCCCGGUAGCUAAAUGCGGAAGAGAUAAGUGCUGAAAGCAUCUAAGCACGAAACUUGCCCCGAGAUGAGUUCUCCCUGAGACUUUAAGUCUCCUGAAGGAACGUUGAAGACGACGACGUUGAUAGGCCGGGUGUGUAAGCGCAGCGAUGCGUUGAGCUAACCGGUACUAAUGAACCGUGAGGCUUAACCUU